rnacentral:rRNA from 1 species
UACGUAGGGUGCGAGCGUUGUCCGGAAUUAUUGGGCGUAAAGAGUGUGUAGGCGGUGCUCUAAGUUCGGUGUGAAAUCUCCCGGCUUAACUGGGAGGGUGCGCCGGAAACUGGAGUGCUCGAACGUGGGAGAGGAAAGCGGAAUUCCUGGUGUAGCGGUGAAAUGCGUAGAUAUCAGGAGGAACACCUGCGGUGUAGACGGCUUUCUGGACCAUUGUUGACGCUGAGACACGAAAGCGUGGGUAGCAAACAGG